AUCGAACGCUGGCGGCAGGCUUAAUACAUGCAAGUCGAACGAGUGGCGGACGGGUGAGUAAUGCUUGGGCAUCUAGCUUAUGGAGGGGGAUAACUACGGGCAACCGUAGCUAAUACUGCGUACCACAGGUUGAGCCCAAGUGGGAUUAGGUAGUUGGUGAGGUAAAGGCUCACCAAGCCGACGAUCUCUAGCUGGUCUGAGAGGCUGACCAGCCACACUGGGACUUAGACACGGCCCAGACUCCUACGGGAGGCAGCAGUGGGGAAUAUUGCGCAAUGGGGGAAACCCUGACGCAGCAAUGCCGCGUGAAUGAAGAAGGCCUUCGGGUUGUAAAGUACUUUCAGCGGGGAGGCGUUACUCGCAGAAGAAGCACCGGCUAACUCCGUGCCAGCAGCCGCGGUAAUUC
rnacentral:rRNA from 1 species